AGGAGCAGCUGUGAGGGACAUUCAGUCUCCAUGCAGAGCCCAGGGACCAGUGUAUCAGUUGCAUGGAGAUACUAGAGACACACUUGCCCAGCUGGAAAUUGCAGAGCUAGUGCAUUUCUCCCAAAGCACAG
rnacentral:sRNA from 1 species